CGCCCGUCUGAGCGCCCUGGAUCGGUGCGCGGCGGCUCUUCCACAGCCGCCAGGCCAGGGUCGCCAGGGCGAUCUUGCCCGCGUGGCGGGCGGCCA
rnacentral:tRNA from 1 species